rnacentral:misc_RNA from 1 species
GAAAUGCGAUAAGUAAUGUGAAUUGCAGAAUUCAGUGAAUCAUCGAAUCUUUGAACGCACCUUGCGCUCCUUGGUAUUCCUUGGAGCAUGCCUGUUUGAGUAUCAUGAAAUCUUCAAAGUAAAUCUUUUGUUAACUCAAUUGGUUUCUACUUUGGUAUUGGAGGUCUUUGCAGCUUCACACCUGCUCCUCUUUGUUCAUUAGCUGGAUCUCAGUGUUAUGCUUGGUUCCACUCGGCGUGAUAAGUUAUCUAUCGCUGAGGACACUGUAAAAGGUGGCCAAGGUAAAUGGAGAUGAACCGCUUCUAAUAGUCCAUUGACUUGGACAAUACUUUUAUGAUCUGAUCUCAAAACAGGUAGGACUACCCGCUGAACUUAAGC